GAUUGAACGCUGGCGGCAUGCUUUACACAUGCAAGUCGAACGGUAACAGGUCUUCGGAUGCUGACGAGUGGCGAACGGGUGAGUAAUGCAUCGGAACGUGCCCAGUCGUGGGGGAUAACGCAGCGAAAGCUGUGCUAAUACCGCAUACGAUCUAUGGAUGAAAGCGGGGGAUCGCAAGACCUCGCGCGAUUGGAGCGGCCGAUGUCAGAUUAGCUAGUUGGUGGGGUAAAGGCCCACCAAGGCGACGAUCUGUAGCUGGCCUGAGAGGACGACCAGCCACACUGGGACUGAGACACGGCCCAGACUCCUACGGGAGGCAGCAGUGGGGAAUUUUGGACAAUGGGCGCAAGCCUGAUCCAGCAAUGCCGCGUGCAGGAAGAAGGCCUUCGGGUUGUAAACUGCUUUUGUACGGAACGAAAAGGUCUGGGUUAAUACCCUGGGCUCAUGACGGUACCGUAAGAAUAAGCACCGGCUAACUACGUGCCAGCAGCCGCGGUAAUA
rnacentral:rRNA from 1 species